UACUUUNAGGCAGCAGUGAGGAAUAUUGGUCAAUGGCCGAGAGGCUGAACCAGCCAUGCCGCGUGCGGGAGGACGGCCCUAUGGGUUGUAAACCGCUUUUUUGUGGGAGCAAUAAGGGUCACGUGUGACCUGAUGAGAGUACCAUGAGAAUAAGCAUCGGCUAACUCCGUGCCAGCAGCCGCGGUAAU
rnacentral:rRNA from 1 species